AUGUUGCAGAUGAAACAAACCAAAGCUCGUCUGACUGUGAGUCCCAGCAGCUCUCAGUUCUUUGAAUAUGACUUUGUGUCUCUGAGCUGUGAGGAGGACGACAGCUCUGCUGGAUGGACUCUGAGGAGAAACACAAGCAAAGAAACCAGGACUCAGUGUGGAGAUGAGUGGGGAGAAGGACCAGGAUAUUUCUGUAGCAUGAGAGUUUUUCCUGAAUGGGACACUGGAGUUUACUGGUGUGAGUCCAGAGAGGGUGCCGUCAGCAACAUGAUUAACCUCACAGUCACUGGUGGAUCAGUGAUCCUGCAGAGUCCUGUCCUCCCUGUGAUGGAGGGAGAUGACGUCACUCUGCUCUGUGAAACAGAGACCACUCCCUCCAACCUCCCAGCUGCUUUCUAUAAAGAUGGCGUCUUCAUUGGGAAUGAGACUACGGGUCACAUGACCAUCCAGCAUGUUUCCAGGUCUGAUGAAGGGCUCUACAAGUGUGACAUCAGCGGUCAUGGAGAGUCUCCAUCCAGCUGGAUCACUGUCACAGAAAAACAUAUAACCACACCUCUGCCCCCUGACUCGUCCUUACUCCACUUUGUGAUUAGACUGCUCUUCCACCUGGUGGUGUUCUGUCCAUACGUCAUCUCCACUCUCCUCAUGGUGUCUUUGUAUCGAAAGAGAGCUAAAGGAAAAAUCCUCCGUGUCCCGAUCCUGCCCACUCAGCCUGAGCAGGGAGUGGACGUUGAGCAUUAUGAUGUCAUCUCUGAUGUCACCACAGAGUAUCACUUCUGAAUCAGAGCUUUGGUGCUUUAGGUCUCACUAAUGUUGUCCUCUCCACCUUUGUUGUGAAUCUUGUAUGAAUAAAAGGACUCUGAUGUUCAUCUCUGGAUAUUUUUAUGUAGAUAAGCAGCAAAUGUUCCCAAGAAAAUCUACUGGAGCUCUCAAUAGAAAUUAUAUUGACUUAUGAUUGUAUGCCCUACACUCAGUCACUACAAUCAAUUUUAGAGUUUCUCCACCUACUGAACCCACUUUAACCUCUGACUGUGCACAUUUUACUGUUUACAGGCAAAGUCACCCUCUACAAUGUAGGUGACUGAAAAUAGAGCUAAUGAGUACAUUUCAGAGCCUGCACUUUUCUACUUAUACUUGAGUAAGGAACUUGAAUCAGUACUUCAACUUUUACUGGAGUAUUUUUUUUACUUGUUUGUAUUUGUACUUAAGUACAGAAUGUCUGAACUUUUGCCAACUCUGCUUGCUCUGCCUCCUUCGCGAUCAUCAGUUUGAACUACCUGGCGUCCUAUUGUUGACGUUUCUGACUGAAUUCCAACGGCCAGGUUGUUGCUGCUGCUCACUCACAGAUACUGACAGAGUGUAAAAGUGUUGAAAUUGACUCUUUCUUAUUGGUGCUUUUGCUAUUAAAAUGAUAUCUUGUGAAACUCUUUAAACUGUUCCUCUCGUUCGUGUACCUACAGCUCAUUUGGUUUUAGCUGUGAUACCCCCCUGCACUUUUUCUCCAUCUGUUUUUGUCAUAGCCUCGUAUGACAGGUUGUGAGAGGUCCCAGGACUGAAUCCCACACAAGCCUUACAUUG